AGUGAACGCUGGCGGUAGGCCUAACACAUGCAAGUCGAACGGCAGCACAGUAAGAGCUUGCUCUUACGGGUGGCGAGUGGCGGACGGGUGAGGAAUACAUCGGAAUCUACUUUUUCGUGGGGGAUAACGUAGGGAAACUUACGCUAAUACCGCAUACGACCUACGGGUGAAAGCAGGGGAUCUUCGGACCUUGCGCGAUUGAAUGAGCCGAUGUCGGAUUAGCUAGUUGGCGGGGUAAAGGCCCACCAAGGCGACGAUCCGUAGCUGAUCUGAGAGGAUGAUCAGCCACACUGGAACUGAGACACGGUCCAGACUCCUACGGGAGGCAGCAGUGGGGAAUAUUGGACAAUGGGCGCAAGCCUGAUCCAGCCGUACCGCGUGGGUGAAGAAGGCCUUCGGGUUGUAAAGCCCUUUUGUUGGGAAAGAAAAGCAGCAGGUUAAUACCCCGCUGUUCUGACGGUACCCAAAGAAUAAGCACCGGCUAACUUCGUG
rnacentral:rRNA from 1 species